rnacentral:piRNA from 1 species
UAAAAGUAAAUUUUCAUUGUAGUGUGUAU